rnacentral:tRNA from 1 species
GGGCCGAUAGAUCAGUCUGGAAGAUCGUCUGAUUUGCAUUCAGAAGGCCGCGAGAACGAAGAGGAGUCGCUCCUUUAGUCGCGAAUUCAAAUCUCGCUCGGUCCACCA